GUGGAUUAGAUACCCCAGUAGUCCACGCCGUAAACGGUGGGCACUAGGUGUGGGGGACAUUCCACGUUCUCCGUGCCGUAGCUAACGCAUUAAGUGCCCCGCCUGGGGAGUACGGCCGCAAGGCUAAAACUCAAAGGAAUUGACGGGGGCCCGCACAAGCGGCGGAGCAUGCGGAUUAAUUCGAUGCAACGCGAAGAACCUUACCUGGGUUUGACAUGCACCAGACGACAGCAGAGAUGUUGUUUCCUUCGGGCUGGUGUGCAGGUGGUGCAUGGCUGUCGACAGCU
rnacentral:rRNA from 1 species